GACGAACGCUGGCGGCGUGCUUAACACAUGCAAGUCGAACGGAAAGGCCCUGCUUUUGUGGGGUGCUCGAGUGGCGAACGGGUGAGUAACACGUGAGUAACCUGCCCUUGACUUUGGGAUAACUUCAGGAAACUGGGGCUAAUACCGGAUAGGAGCUCCUGCUGCAUGGUGGGGGUUGGAAAGUUUCGGCGGUUGGGGAUGGACUCGCGGCUUAUCAGCUUGUUGGUGGGGUAGUGGCUUACCAAGGCUUUGACGGGUAGCCGGCCUGAGAGGGUGACCGGCCACAUUGGGACUGAGAUACGGCCCAGACUCCUACGGGAGGAAGCAGUGGGGAAUAUUGCACAUUGGGCGGAAGCCUGAUGCAGCAACGCCGCGUGCGGGAGGACGGCCUUCGGGUUGUAAACCGCUUUCGCCUGUGACGAAGCGUGAGUGACGGUAAUGGGUAAAGAAGCACCGGCUAACUACGU
rnacentral:rRNA from 1 species